AGAGUUUGAUCAUGGCUCAGAACGAACGCUGGCGGCGUGGAUAAGACAUGCAAGUCGAGCGGGAUUUUCUUUGGUAGCAAUACCGAGGAAAAUUCAGCGGCGAACGGGUGCGUAACACGUGGGCAAUUUGCCUUAAAGUGUGGGAUAGCUCGGCGAAAGCCGAAUUAAUACCGCAUGUGGCUACUGGAGACAUCUUCGGGACGCUAAAGGUGGCGCAAGCUACCGCUUUUUGAGAAGCCCGCGGCCUAUCAGCUUGUUGGUGAGGUAACGGCUCACCAAGGCUAUGACGGGUAGCUGGUCUGAGAGGACGACCAGCCACACUGGGACUGAGACACGGCCCAGACACCUACGGGUGGCAGCAGUCGAGAAUUUUUGACAAUGGGGGAAACCCUGAUCGAGCGACGCCGCGUGGAGGAUGAAGGUCUUCGGGUUGUAAACUCCUGUCAUUUGGGAACAAGGCGCGUGUAUUAACUGUGCACGCGUUGAUAGUACCAGAAGAGGAAGAGACGGCUAACUCUGUGCCAGCAGCCGCGGUAAUACAGAGGUCUCAAGCGUUGUUCGGAUUCAUUGGGCGUAAAGGGUGUGUAGGUGGCGCGCUAAGUCGGGUGUGAAAUUUCGGAGCUUAACUCCGAAACUGCAUUCGAUACUGGCGUGCUUGAGGACUGGAGAGGAGACUGGAAUUUACGGUGUAGCAGUGAAAUGCGUAGAUAUCGUAAGGAAGACCAGUGGCGAAGGCGGGUCUCUGGACAGUUCCUGACACUGAGACACGAAGGCCAGGGGAGCAAACGGGAUUAGAUACCCCCGUAGUCC
rnacentral:rRNA from 1 species